GGGCAUUGUGUGGAGGGUAUGACACAGCCUUCGGAUGUCCCCAGGAGGAUGCUGGGUAACUGGCAUCACUACAAAGUUGAUCAUGAAGGUCAGCCAGCCUGUCACCGGUUCACCCAAGGUCUACCAAGUAGUAAUACAUAUACUAAUGUCUACUAGAGGAGAAAGCAGAAAGCUACUACGAAGAUCAGCGAUCCAUCAUUCCCACCAGAUGACGUAGAUCAGUAUCUUUCUCAGCCAUCAUCAGAGAAGCUUCCUCCUACAACACAUAAGAACAAAUGCAGAGACCACAGCUGAAAAUCUACAGAGAAUGGGAGUCCUUGGAACAUUCACCCCUAAAUUGGAUGUGUCCAUCAAACACUUCUCUGUGGGUUCCUAUGUGCAUGAAUCCUGAUGAUUUAGAGG